GCAACUUUCACCACCUGAAACCUGAGAUACUGCUCCUGCCUUUGUUUGAGGUAAUUUGCAUCAUAACACAGCCUCACAACAGAGUUCAGAGACACCCCACCAGAUAAGAAAUACCUGCCCAGAGGAGCAUCCCAUCUAUUUACUCUGUGAAAUAUGAAACACCAUAACCAGAAGGAAACAUGAAUAUAUCCUGCUUACCAACAAACAAUUUUGAGAUCCUCAGAAGUCUUGUCUUCUUCAACAGCUGUCCCAGAGGCAGAGUGUGCCUUGAACACCCAGAUCCUAAGGUACACUACAAGCUUAUCCCCAAGACUCUCUCAAGCCUUCAAUCUCUGGUGGACCUGAGAGCAGGCACUGGGAAUGAGGCUGGAGCUGCCUCACUGGAGAAUUUCCAGGUCUGAAUGCAACAGUGAACUCAGCUACAGUCCUGAUGUUUGAGAGGGCUUCACUGGAAAUCUG